GAUGAACGCUGGCGGCGUGCCUAAUACAUGCCAGUCGAGCGAACAGACGAGGAGCUUGCUCCUCUGACGUUAGCGGCGGACGGGUGAGUAACACGUGGAUAACCUACCUAUAAGACUGGGAUAACUUCGGGAAACCGGAGCUAAUACCGGAUAAUAUAUUGAACCGCAUGGUUCAAUAGUGAAAGACGGUUUUGCUGUCACUUAUAGAUGGAUCCGCGCCGCAUUAGCUAGUUGGUAAGGUAACGGCUUACCAAGGCAACGAUGCGUAGCCGACCUGAGAGGGUGAUCGGCCACACUGGAACUGAGACACGGUCCAGACUCCUACGGGAGGCAGCAGUAGGGAAUCUUCCGCAAUGGGCGAAAGCCUGACGGAGCAACGCCGCGUGAGUGAUGAAGGUCUUCGGAUCGUAAAACUCUGUUAUUAGGGAAGAACAAAUGUGUAAGUAACUGUGCACAUCUUGACGGUACCUAAUCAGAAAGCCACGGCUAACUACGUG
rnacentral:rRNA from 1 species